rnacentral:rRNA from 1 species
GACAGAGGGUGCAAACGUUGCUCGGAAUCACUGGGCGUAAAGGGCGUGUAGGCGGGAAGGAAAGUCAGAUGUGAAAUCCCUGGGCUCAACCCAGGAACUGCAUUUGAAACUCCCUUUCUUGAGUGUCGGAGAGGAAAGUGGAAUUCCUGGUGUAGAGGUGAAAUUCGUAGAUAUCAGGAGGAACACCGGUGGCGAAGGCGGCGACCUGGGUCGAUACUGACGCUGAUGCGCGAAAGCGUGGGGAGCAAACAGG